GACGAACGCUGGCGGCGUGCUUAACACAUGCAAGUCGAACGGAAAGGCCCUGCUUUUGUGGGGUGCUCGAGUGGCGAACGGGUGAGUAACACGUGAGUAACCUGCCCUUGACUUUGGGAUAACUUCAGGAAACUGGGGCUAAUACCGGAUAGGAGCUCCUGCUGCAUGGUGGGGGUUGGAAAGUUUCGGCGGUUGGGGAUGGACUCGCGGCUUAUCAGCUUGUUGGUGGGGUAGUGGCUUACCAAGGCUUUGACGGGUAGCCGGCCUGAGAGGGUGACCGGCCACAUUGGGACUGAGAUACGGCCCAGACUCCUACGGGAGGCAGCAGUGGGGAAUAUUGCACAGUGGGCGGAAGCCUGAUGCAGCAACGCCGCGUGCGGGAUGACGGCCUUCGGGUUGUAAACCGCUUUCGCCUGUGAUGAAGCGUGAGUGACGGUAAUGGGUAAAGAAGCACCGGCUAACUACGUG
rnacentral:rRNA from 1 species